UGACGAGGUGGGCCGUGGAUAAGUUUCGGCGUUCUCGUCUGAUCCGUCGACCAGGAAGUUGGCUUUUUGUUUGAUGGGCCCAGGCGGAAAUUGUACGGGUGGUCUGGUUCCUUCGUGACCUCACUUCAGAGCUCGAGGCUGGCGGCGGCGGCGACCCCAUGGAGUUCCUGAUGCGGCCUAUACGCGGAUCCACUUUCCUAGAGGUGGUGGGAGCGAGUUUGGUGCCGCCACCAGUACCGGCGGAGCCGACUGUGGUGGCUAUGGUGGUGGAGCAUCAGGUGGUGGUGGAACAGGUGGUGGCGGCGCAGGAGGCUCGAUGGGCAGCGUGGACGCACAGAUCUUGGCGGCCAAGGGAGCGUCGGCUGACAUGAGGGACAGCUUGCCACCGACCUCGGAGCUGUCAACUGGAAGAUGAAUCCCCGAGCGCUUGGAUGGAGUAGGUUAGUGCUGGAUUUGAUCUUAUGGUUAGCAAAGAAACGUAGUUCUAUAGGUAAGAACAAAGUUUGUGAGGAUAAAAUCCUGCCAUUAGCGUCUGCAGUGGCAACGAGACGGGGCAGCUGAGCUGCGGAUCGGAAUCGGCGGGUAUGUGGAUCCGUAGCUAUCCGACGGUCUGGAAUCGAUUUUUAGGCUAGAUGCUUGGUAGUUGAAGGUUGAGUUUUUCAUAUGCCAGAUCCAAUAUUAAUCAGAAAGUAGGGAAAGUUUGGUGCCAUGCGAUUUGCUGCAAAUGAGACUGCCAAAUCAGGUGGAGGUGCCGCAGCAGCAUCCCACGGCAGGAUCUUUAGGCCUGUUGCGCUGGUGGCGAACAGAAGGGAUAACUCGCCUAGUUGCCUUCGACCACCGCCCACCGGGCUCUCCACGGAAGAUAAUCCCCAGGCCCCGGCUGAAAUAAAAGGUGAGGAGAAAGCUCACUGAUUCCAUCAAGAAUGGUGGAAUUUUUGAAUUUUAGGUUUACAUGGAUGAGCGGAUCAUACAGAGAUGGUGAAUUGCUAUGCUUGCCGUGUGCCAACAGUAUUUAGAUAAUUCAUGACAGGUGUGUUUGUGUUUGCUGGCUGAGAAUUGGUGCUGCCGCAUCCAGCAGGACACUGCCCAUCUCGCAUUAGUGACUUCGAGAAGGCUGUCAGGUGUUUUUAUAGAAAAGCCAGCUGAUAGUGUGACCGCUCCAGUUCUUGGCAGUGCUUUCGACUCACUUGGCAAGGUGUAUGAUUUAGACAUUUUGCUUUGUACAGUUGGCAAUUACUCCGGUAUAUUUUAGCCGUGUCCUCAGUUCUUGUUAUUUCCUGCAUUCUCAAGAAUUGAAAACAUAUUGUAGGGUAAAGCUGGUGUUCAGAACAGAAGGUCUUGCCAUUGCGAAUGCCUGGCUCUGAUAAAGACUUUUACAAGCAGAGGACAAUGUUUGAUACUCCUCUGUAAAGAAAUAUAUUAUUUCUUUACAAAGGGAGUACAUUAAGCAUAGAGAGAGUCAUAAUCAUUCGCUUUCACUAAAUUUGGCGAGAUAAUCCACAGUUAGAGAAGCAGGAGAGAGUUUGAGGCAAGUAACCCGUGGUAGUAAUCAUACUAGUGGAGGUAUUGGCACUAACAAUGUACCCAGGUCAUUCCAUGUGUUGGAGGCCCGCUUACGUCUCUGGGAUAUUAAAUAUAUUAUGUGCAAAUCAGGUGCUGAUGCUGGCUCUGGGAGGGGUACGAGGGGGCAGAACAAGAGUUGUUGUGUCAACAAUGCAGUGACAGGUUGUGAGAUCAUUCAGAUGGACUGACCGAGUGUUGUGAGAUCAUUGAAAUUUUGCUGUAACAUUUUGAAUUUGCAGGGGAUGGGACACCUUGCGAUGUGCCUGAAGCCUUGAUGCAAUAUGACCGCAAUGAGGUUGCUGGACAAUCAGACAUCCAUGAGCAUGAGGAUGAAGUGGGUAGGGGAUUGUGCGUGGUGUCAGGCUGGACGAGGAGUAAGAGUAACCUAAGGUUGCAGAUAGGCAUGGUCAGGACAUCGUGAAGGGUGAGAUGGGUGAUAAGUUCCGAGGAAAAGCUGGUUUGAAGGAUGAAGAGCCAAACGCAAGAGACAUGCUACUUUCUAUGACAGCAUGUUGUCAUACACUUCCAGAGAACUUAGCAAGAGAAGACUUCGUGAGGGAGUUCGGACCAAACGGGCUGUUGACAGUGGAUUCGUGUGUCGCGGCUGAUCAUUACAAGGAAGGUCGGAUGUUUGAUAGUUGGCAGAUCAGGUGGCACCACGUCUUUGACUUGCAGUUUGUGAUGAUGUUGCCGGUGCCAAUGUACGAGGUCCAUAGUGUAUGAGGUGAUUUUGAUGAGGGGGAACAGGGUUGAGCUGCCAGAUUUCAUGCUUGAAGUGCUCUUUCUGAGGUAUGAGUUAUAGGGAUGUAGUAUUUUAGAUCCGGUGUCUGCGAGAUUGAUUAUGAAACACGUUGUGUACAUUAGACACUGGAGGGGAAUGUUAGCUACCAUCUCAUUUUGUGGUGUGGUAGUGAUUCUAAGCCCAGUGUUUGCCACAUUGAGCCUAACCUGUAUUUUGAGCAAGACAUGGCAAGCUAGAUUACAUCCUAGUCAGCUGGCGUGGAAGUGCUUGUGAUCACUCUGUGCUUAGCUAUACUAUAUUUGCAUGUAAGGAUUGAUAUGCCACAUGUUGAAGGUGGUAAAUGAACCAACAGAUGAUGAAUCGUUGGUUUUUAAGAUUUGUAAGUGCUCUGUUAAGAUUGUAGUGCAGAACUCUGUAAGGUGUUCAUUUUGCAAUUAAUGCUGUUCAGAACCAUUUGGAGUUAGCUAAGGAUGGUUGUGGUUUUCAAUUAGGAGACCUGGACGGUGACUUGGUAUUUUGCCAGAAUGGCUUCUGAUGAGUUCAUGUCGUGUUUUGCAAAAGGGAAACUGAAAACUUUCAAUAGGUGGUGCGUUUUAACUUUUAAGUACUUAUAAGGUUAUGCUGAUGAUGCACUCUGGGGUGUGUGGUUUUGCUGUGCAUCAUGAGAUUUUUGAGUUUCAAACGAUGUUCGGCCAAUAUUAGCA